CACACACUCACACAAGUCAGUGUCAGCUUUGGCCACAUGACUUUAUUACAAUACAUUUUUUGUUAAAACAUGACAUUAUAAACCACAAUAGAAUUUUAAAAGAAAACCUUAUUUCUCCGCUGUGCUCUAUCCCUUUAAUUCUGAUAUAAUUACUGUCUCAUUACAGUUAUUAAUCAUAAUGUAGAUGACACAACCAAUGCCUGGUGAUAGGCUAUCACCCAUCCAUCAUAUUUACACUAAGAGCCCUUAUCAUGAACUCGUUAUUCAGAACUAUAUUCCCUCACUAAGUGUUUUUUACAGAGUGUGUUCAUGUACUUGGAAAUGGUAUUUACACGUCUUUGGUGUAGUGGACAGACAGAGACAGACAGCCAGAAAGAGACAGCCAGAGACAGACAGAGACUUAAGGCGUGGCAGUAUAUAUAAGAUACAACUCUGUUCCAACAUUUUAGAGAUGCAUCCUUCUUUCUUUCCUUCCUUCCUUCCUUCCUUCCUUCCUUCCUCUAAGUGGAAGGAAAGCUCAUAACAAUGUCUGGAACAGACCGAAUGGAAUGGCAUCAAACCAGUGGUGUAAAGUCCUUAAGCCUCUGGCCUGGCAGACUCACUAAACACAAAUGCUUCGUCUGUAUGUAUGAGUGUUGGAGUGUGUCCCUGGCUACCUGUCAAUAAAAAUAAAAUAAAAAAUUGUGCAGUCUGGUUUGCUUAAUAAAAGGAAUUUGAAAUGGUUUAUACUUCUACUUUUGAUACUUAAGUACAUUUUAGCAGUUACAUUUUUCUUUUAAAACCAAAUACUUUUAGACUUUAACUCAAGUAGUAUUUUACUGGGUGACUUUUACUUUUACUUGAGUCAUUUCCUAUUAAGGUAUCUUUACUUUUACUUGAGUCAUUUCCUAUUAAGGUAUCUUUACUUUUACAAAAGUUGUUUAAUUGAAUACUUUUCCCACCAUUGCAUCAAACACAGAACCCUUUGUUAGAUGUGUUUCAUACAAUUCCACUGAUUCCACUCCAGUCAUUCCAACAAAAGCCCGUCCUCCCCAAUUAAGGUGCCACCAACCUCCUGUGCUCUGUCCCUUUAAUUCUGAUAUUAUGACUGUCUCAUUACAGUUAUUAAUCAUAAUGUAGAUGACACAACCAAUGCCUGGUGAUAGGCUAUCACCCAUCACUUGUUACAGUAUUAACAACAAGCCUGUUUUAUCUACUACAAUAUUUACACUAAGAGCCCUUAUCAUGAACUCGUUAUUCAGAACUAUAUUCCCUCACUUAGUGUUUUUUACAGAGUGUGUUCAUGUACUUGGAAAUGGUAUUUACACGUCUUUGGUGCAGUGGACAGACAGAGACAGACAGAGACAGACAGACAGAGACUUAAAGGUGUGGCAAUUUGAAUGCUCUUAUAUAAGAUACAGCUCUGUUCCAACAUUUUAGAGAUCCUUCCUUCCUUCCUUCCUUCCUACCUACCUACCUACCUACCUACCUACCUACCUACCUUCCUCAAAGUGAUGUCUUACCUAACUACACUGGAUAGGUGAAGAUUUUGUGGUGGAAAUAUCACUCAGACCCAAUCCAACUCUCUAAGGCCAGACCCAAUCCAACUCUCUAAGGUCAGACCCAAUCCAACCCUCUAAGGUCAGACCCAAUCCAACCCUCUAAGGUCAGACCCAAUCCAACCCUCUAAGGUCAGACCCAAUCCAACCCUCUAAGGUCAGACCCAAUCCAACCCUCUAAGGUCAGACCCAAUCCAACCCUCUAAGGUCAGACCCAAUCCAACCCUCUAAGGUCAGACCCAAUCCAACCCUCUAAGGUCAGACCAGGAAGUAAAGGAACUGAAGGAUGCAUGUUUUCAAGGAACCUGUAUUCACACAGGGCUGAAACAAAACAGUCUCAAUGUCAACUUGUCAUCUAAAGUACUGCUGAUUAAUUAAUAAAAUACUUUUUGUAAAGACCUCUCUCUCUCUUUCUCUGUCUCUCUCUCUUUCUUACUGACUGUCGGUCUGUCUUGUUCCAGCUCCUUCAAUCUGUAUUUUCCCUCUCUCCCCUUCUCUCUCUCUCUCUCUCUCUCACCCUCUCUCUCUCUGUCUCCCUCUCCCUCCCCCUCUCUCUCUCUCUCUCUCUUUCCCC
ensembl:lncRNA